CAAGGAAGAGGAAGAGAGAGAGUGUUUAGGUUAGAGAGAGCAAAUCGGUUGAAGAAUGGCUGAUGAGGGGUUUGUAAUCACAGUUGAUGGUGAUGAUAAGAACCCCACGUUCAGAUUUCAUUAUUUCUGGUAGUUUUCAUGCUAUAUUGUUCUGGGAUUGGAGAGAUCAAGGGCGUCAGUGAUGGCAGGACGGCGGCGGCGGCAGGGCGACGGGUCGGAAGGAGGAGCAAACCCUCUCUCUCUCUCUUCUUCUCUCUCACACUUUGUUUAUUUUGAAAUCAAAUUUUUUUUUUCAAUUUACUAACCAAAACGACGUCGUUUUGGUUAUUAUUAUUUUCAACCGUUGGAUCUUUUCACUUUGGGAGAUCACUCUAGAGAGUUUACUCUAGAGGAUCCUGAGGCAUAUCACGAACCCAGCUAAUGUUUCUUCUUCUUUACUUUUAAGAGCUAUUCUUGUAGACUACAUUCUCUCUCUCCAUAAGCUUUAAGUUUGGCCCACUGGUUUUCUUCAUUUUCUUCCGAUGGUGGAGAAGCAGGGACUCACCGUCGUGUGUAUGUUCAUGGCAUGCUCUUUCCGGCAAUGCACAGUGAGUAUCGGUGUCUCGAUCCUGCCAUUACUGCCGUCAAUCUACAUUAUUAGUUGUGGUUCUACCAGCUUUGAAGCUUACCCACUCGUCCCUCUUCGACAGUGGUGGUCUGCUGUCUCAUUAUCAUUAGAGGACUUCAAUCCACUACCAUUGUCGUGUUUUUGAGCUGAUGACUUUCAUUGUUUCCGAAGCCGUUUGCCAUUGUUUCCGGCGGUGCUCCUUUGUCCACAAUGGGCCAUCUCUUACUUUUCGAAACCCAGAAAUCUCCAACACUCAAAGAACUACUCGUCGGCGUUAGAUUUUGAAGGCUUGCCAUUAUUGAUUAGCAAAUUCAUUUUGAUCCCGCUACCGUGAGUUAGUAGGUCCCUUUUUUGUUUCUUGACAGCCACGUCACCAUCGGUGGGCUUCGCCAUUGCAACGUUGGCAAGCUUGUAUCAUCGGCCUCCAGCAUCGCUCACACAGUCACAACGUCGCAAGUUCUCAACCCCACACUUUUAAUUUUGGUUCAGCGUGCUAUUGUGGACUUUGCACAACAGAUUUUGUUCUCUCCGUGGCCGCCCUGGCUUCGUAGCUGGUGGCAUUGGUUUGGUAUUGUGAUUCCCAGACAAGGAGGCGGACUACCAAAGAACAUCUGGCUGACCUUGAGACUAUAUUUGCCUACCCCAACCGAUCUAUGACAAAACUACUUAAUUACAAGGCCACUUACAAGCACAAGCUUAAUGAGAGGAGGGUUCGUGUGAUUGACUAUUUUAGAAAGUCUCUAGAGAGGUCGUUCGAGCAACAAGCUUGUGAUAACACUGGUGCUUCUACUCUCCACCAUUGCUUGGUCAUCAAGUGGAACUACGAGUGGGGGCCCUCGUCUCGACAACCAAGAAGGCAUGACUCGCUGAAAGCUUGACCUUGCAGCUCUUGUUUAUGGUACAGGUCCUGUUCCUAAAGUAGCUACUGUGAUCGUUCGGUCGACCGAACAAAGAGUCUUGGUUCCAAAACAGUCCAUAUAGACUUCCAAGGAUAACCCUUCUCCUACUCCACAUACUACAACACAUACUGAAGAACUGAGGGAUUCCAAGAGAAAGAGGAGUAAAGGAAAGGAUGUGGUUGAGGGUUCUGAAGAGCAGACUUUGGCUAAGGAGUGGCUGCCUCAUUUGGAGUAUAAAAGUCGACCUAUCACUGUGGCUGAUAGCAUGACAGAUUCUUGUGAUUUGGCAUUCCACAUGUCCAAGGCAUUACUCCUAUGCCUGGACAUGGUUGAAUGUAAUGUGGAUUAUGAAUCUCUAAUCAAAGGAUCUAUUCAAAUGGUGACCACAUUGGCGCAGUGGCUUCAUGUUUUGGAGCAGCGUUGCUUGGAGCAAGUAACAGACUUCAACCUUGCUAGUUGACGCCGACCUUGCUCUGAAGUCUGCCGAAGUAGAACAGAUAAAGGCCGAAGAGGAGGCUUCCUUCUAAGGCAUCGACCCUUGCUAGGGAGAAGGCAUCGUUGGAGACUGAGAAAAUUGCUAUGGUGGAUUUUGCUGCCAACAAAGAGGUCGAACGGAGAAAAGCUGAAGUGGAGGCCCAGCUGGAGGCGAUGAAAGCCGACUAAGCUAAGCUUAUUGAAGAGGCCAUCCAGAAGGGUUGGGAUGAGGCUGAAACAAAUUAUGCCCAACAAGUGCUGAAAUUGAGGGAUGACUUAUUUGCCAAGGGUUGGACAGAGGCUCUUCGUGCUAUUAGAACUGAGGAGACUUCUGCUCUCUUCAUGGACAUACCUGUUCCAUCUAAGACUACUACUGCAAGGGCUGCUAAAGCAAAGGAGACAUUAGUGGCUGAGACUUCGGAGGCCACCCUUUCUGUUUCCCCCCUUCGUCUACCGAGCGCUAUUUCUGAAUGAGCAAAAGUAGUGUUGUGAUGAGGCUUGAAAGUCCUUUACUUGUUUUCUAUAUUUUGUCACAUUUUUUUUUUUUGUGCAAGUGUUGGAGUUCAGCUAGUUAGACAUCGUCAUUUUGUAAGGCCGAGCUCUCCUUUUUGUAAUGGACACUUUAU